UCACUUACAGCACUGUUGUUUUUUCUCACAGUACCACCACCACCACCACCACCACCACCACCACCACCACCAACACCGUCUGACCAGCAGAGCUCUGGAAGUGACCGCCUCGUUAUUGAUACAGAGGAGGAGGAAAUGGGGGAGCCUUCAGGCCAGCCUGAUGUCACUUACGUGGACUCUGAGUCGUCGGAGCCGCCACAGUAUAUGAUUAUUGACAGUGAUGAGGAAGGGGAUGAGGAAGGGGAGAAAAAGCCCUCUCCCCAACUUGGUAAGUAAACUAAAGUAUUGUAC